UGAACGCUGGCGGCAUGCCUAACACAUGCAAGUCGAACGCGAAAGCCCUUCGGGGUGAGUAGAGUGGCGGACGGGUGAGUAACGCGUGGGAAUCUGCCCUGUAGUGGGGAACAACCCGAGGAAACUCGGGCUAAUACCGCAUACGUCCUAUGGGAGAAAGGGGGCUUCGGCUCUCGCUGCAGGAUGAGCCCGCGUCCGAUUAGCUAGUUGGUGGGGUAAUGGCCCACCAAGGCGACGAUCGGUAGCUGGUCUGAGAGGAUGAUCAGCCACACUGGGACUGAGACACGGCCCAGACUCCUACGGGAGGCAGCAGUGGGGAAUAUUGGACAAUGGGCGAAAGCCUGAUCCAGCAAUGCCGCGUGUGUGAAGAAGGCCUGCGGGUUGUAAAGCACUUUCAGUAGGGAAGAAAAGCCUAGGGUUAAUACCUCUGGGUGUUGACGUUACCCACAGAAGAAGCACCGGCUAACUCC
rnacentral:rRNA from 1 species